GAGUGCUGGACAGACCACCAUGUGGAGUUGCCAUCUGAGGACAUUGCUACUUGGAUACCCCCACAGGACGCCCAGCCAGGCAUGAUGACUCACAUCUGUAAUCCCAGCACUUUGGGAGGCUGAGGCAAGAGGAUUGAGGCCAAGAGUUCAAGACCAGCCGGGGAAGCAUACCUCUCUUGAACCUUCACAGUCCAGCCGAGCUGCCAUCUCUUCAAGGAAGUUUUCCCUGAAGCCCUCAGGUAGACCCGUUUUUCCAUGGCGGCCACAUCAGCAUGCAGCACAUUUAAUUGGAAGUCUCCACAUAUGAGUUGGUUUUCCUUACUUAAAAUAUGCUUAUCAUCCCUUGGAGCACUUGAAAAUAUUGGCUAUUUCCUUCUGACCCCCAUGGUUUCUUUUAAAAAAUUUGCUGUUGUUUGAAUUAUUUUUCUCUACAGGUAUUGACUGCUGCCUCAUGAAGGCUGGUCCUGUCUCUAUAGUGAAUAUUGUGCACCUCAGGGUAGAAUGGAGAGCAGAAGACUUCAAAUCAGGCAGUCUGGGUUCAGACCCCAAUUCUAGUGCUAAAUAGCUACGUGACUUUAGGCCGAUUGUGUGUGACUUCCCUGAGCCCCAGUCUCUUUGCCUGCAAAAUGAGAAAAAUUAUAACAAUGUCAUCGGUUGUUCUGAGGAUUCUGAGAGGAAU
rnacentral:lncRNA from 1 species